UAGCCAUGGUGGGGGCAUUCAAGUUGGUAGCUCUUGAAUCUCUCCCAUGCGUUUCUGAACGAUUCCUGUGGACCUUGACAGAAUGUGGAGAUUUUCUUCCUUACAUC
rfam:Brassica rapa chromosome A8, whole genome shotgun sequence.